CUCUUCUCCAGGCUGAACAGCCCCAGCUGUCUCAGCCUGUCCUUGUAGAGGAGCUGUUCCAUCCCUUGGAUCCAAGUCCUUUUUGGCUGGACUGUGCUCUAUCCUUACAUCCCUCACCUUGUACUGAUACUGGGUGUUGCCAUGACCAAGGUGCAAGAUGUUGCACUUGGAUUUGUUUAACCUCAUGGGACCACUUCUGGAGCCUUCAAGGUCUCUCUGGAUAGCAUCCCAUCCCUUGGGCAUGUCUACUACGCCACACAGCUUGGUGUCAUCCACAAGCGUGCUGAGGGUGCACUCAAUCCCACUGUCAGUGUCAUUGAUGAGAGUAUUAAACAGCACUGGUCCCAGAACUGACCCUUGAAGGACAUUGCAUGUUACUGAUCUCCAUCUGAACAUUUAGCCAUUGACCGCUGCUCUCUGAGUACACUCUCACAACCAGUUCUUUGUCCAUCAAACAGUCCACCCAUCAAACCCGUCUUUCCAAUUUGGAGAGAAGGAUGUUAUGGGGAACUGUGUCAAAGGCCUUACUGAAGUUGGGAUAGAUGAUAUCAGUGGUUCUUCCCUUGUCCAUUGACAUGGUUACGCCAUCAUAGAAUACCACAAGGUUUGUCAGGCAAGACCUGCCCUUGAUGAAGCCAUGCUGAUUGUCUCAUACUACCUCCCUGUCUUCCACGUGCCUUAACAUAGAGUCCAGCAGGAUCUGUUGUAUGACCUUCCCUGGCACGGAGGGGAGGCUUACAGAUCGGUAGUUCCUGGGGUCGUCCUUUUUACCCUCCUUAAAAAUGGGUGUGCCUUUUUUCCAGUCGCCAGGGACUUCACCUGACUGCCAUGACUUUUCAAAUACUAUUGAGAGUGGCAAAUGGGAAAUGGAAGUUACGUAUUCUUGGUUGAUUCACUCAACUUUUAAUUCAAACAGUGCACGAUAGCUGGGUGGAUGUGUUUACUCCAGAGAAUCGACAUGAAGCAAGUACAGGUUGAAGAAAAUGGGACGUUAACACAGUGCUUCUGUUUCCCUCAAGAGCUAAAGCAUUGCAGUUAAAGCUUUGCUUGUUCGCUUGCCUGAAUUCUAUGGUGUUUACACCUACAAGCAAGAUUCAGUAUCUCUGAGUGUUGCCCGUAAGGAUACAAAGAAGAAUAUAAUAGUCUCAUCUGGAAUGGAAACUUUAAUUUCUGUCAGAAAUAUUAUGUAUGCAUAAGACAUUGUAAGAAGACCCAAAGUUUCUCCCAGCACCAAGGAUGGAGAUCUUCACCCUGUAUUGUAUCUUGUUGUCAACCUUUGGCUUUAACUUCACUGGGAAGAGAACAAGAUCCAUUAAACGUUCUUCGUCCUUCAUCCUCUGACUGUGAUGAAAGUAGAAGGGGACAGCCUAAAUACUGCAUGAUGGCCGGAGAGUAGGUCAAUAGCAACAAGGUUUUUUGAGCUAGAGGGUAAAGCAGCUGACAACAUUCACAGCCAUGCUGGGCCACUCUGGCAUGUAUGCUGUUCUAGUCUUGGGAGUCUUAAUAAAUGUGAGUUUUCUUUGCCCACGUGCAAGAAAGUCGCUGUUGGUAUUGGUCCUUUCUGAAGUGGCAACCAGGGAAAAGCAGAUAGGAAACAAAGUAUUCAAUGUGAAAAAUACCAAUUAAAACAUACUUUUCAGCACUCUGCCUGUGCAGAUUUUUAGGAGCAGAGCCUGAUGAAUGACCUUUAUGGCUGUGGUGCAGCCCACUAAGGUUUUGUGAUUUUAAACAAGAGCUAUGUUACUGUAUUUUCUCCUCAGCAUGCUGUCAAGAUGGGAGCAUCUUAUAUAAAUUCUGGUUAGUUUUGUUCAGUGUUGAGUGCCUUAGAUUUUUCCACUGACUUUGUCCCUUUAUAAUUGCAGCAUUUCAGAUUGGAGGCCUUCCUUUGCUCUCCAAUAAUCCAAUCACAAGAAAGGUAGGAUGAGACACACCAGCUAUAUAAAUUAAAACCAACCAUUACCCGAUUUUUCCUAUUUCCUGGUCUGUCCAAGAAUUUUCAUUAUUAUCUCUGUGCCAUUUGGCUUUACCUGAAAUAAUAAUUCAUCAUAUCUAAGGCUAAUGGUACUCUGCAAAUAGAACAACCACUGGAAAACGAAGGCUUCUUAUCUCUGAGGAAAUAGUAAUUGCGAUAGUUAAUCAAUGUCUGAGAUUUGCAUAUACUCUGUUUGCAGAAUACUUGACCAGGAAAUUCUGCACUGUAAACAAGACAGGGCUUUCUUCUUUGAGGCCACUUCUAGCAAGAACAAUAAAAUAAUUAAAAAACAACAACAAAAACAACAACAACCACCACCACAGUAGUUCUCAGUUUUCUUAAGAGAUUUAUGUGCCAGCUACCUUCAUGGAAAAUCUGCUGCUGCACCUUUUCUUCCUGUUAAUAAGCAAUGGCUGUGUUUAGGAAGGCACUGGAAAUGGGUUUGAAUAAAUCAAAAAUCAAGAGCCUUUCUUGCCCUAUUUGCUUUUUUAUGCUUUCUGGGAAGCCUGGCUCUGUGCUGUAUUAUCUAGGUUGUGUAGAGGAAAUCCGUGCUCUCCUGCUGGCCUGAUGUCUUCUCUUCUCGGUUCCCCUUCCCGCGCACCACCUGUGCUUUGGCACGGCACCCGGCGCUCCUGCUCCAUCUGGGAUCUGACAUCUGGUGUCACGCUGACACAAGUGGCAGGUAUCAGGCUGUCCCCACAGAUGUCCCUGGCAUGAUGAUACAGCUCUCUGAGCAAGGUACGCAAUUGCACCCAACAGCUCAGAAACAGGGAACGGGCAAGCCACCCUGCUGUGAGUGCUCCCCAGUGGGGUACUGUGGGCUUCCCCCAUCCAUCCUUCACCUACUGGUGAUAUGAAAACUAGGAAAGACGCCACCUCUUUCAUCUGCAGGCAAGAGCUGAGGUGAUCUCAGUUGCCCAAGGACAAAGAACGUGUGCAGAGGUUGUUGGAGUCAGCCUGUUUAAAAAUUAAUAUAUUAAAGAAAUAACCCAUUUUUAAAAAUAGGUUACAUCAAAGUUUCAAGAGAUGAAGAAAGAGUCAGGAAAUGGUGCUCCCUUGUAAACAGUGAACGCCUGAGCUGGUCCACCCAGCUUGCAGCAAUCUGCAUCUGCACUGCCAGCAUGUACCCUGUGUGCAUCAGGCUCCUUCCUGCCUUGCCUCUGGCUGAAUGAGGUCCCUCGAACUCCAGCCUUUAUGAAGGAGCACGAGCAGGUGCUGACCCCUUACUGUAAUGAGCUUUCAUUCAGCAGGAGGCGGUAAAGUUUGUCACUGUGACCCUGCAGUGACAUUUCUUCCCUGGUCCCAGGCAGUGGUAGGCACUGGUUUCCAGCUCACAUGCUCGUGGCUGUUUUCAUACACUCUGACUUACAGGAAAAGCCUUUUCUGGGAGGGGUGAAGCUGCUUUUUGCCCUUGGGUGGUUUGUUUCAUCCUACUUGGAGCGUAAUGGACUCUUUGCACUUAAAUGAGUUGAGCACAGUGUUCCUGGCUUACAAUAAACCUAUAUAAUCUAGGAGGAAAGCAUAUCUAAAUUGUCCUUACUUAAAGUCAACAGAUAAACUGAACAUAUGGGAUUAACACUAGGCAAGAUCUAGAGGAGGAAGGGAAAGUCUGGAUCCAAGCGUUCAGCCAAGCUCCUCAUAGAAACUGCCAUGGCAUCUCUGUUACCCACAGGCCUCUGUCCAGGCACGAACGAGUUUUCUCAGCCACAGCACGACCUACCAGGGGUUGGGUGGGUGCAGACAGUACGGCUGUCCUGGACUGCAGCAGGAGAAACCCUGUGACCAUCACUGCCAUAAUCCAAGCAAGAAACUUCAGACACCCAUUUCCAUUUCAGCCUCAUAGACAUCCCUUUCCUGGUGGUGUGGCUGUUCCUCAAGAAGGUGGGAUAAAUUUCAAGCUGAGAGGCUUCUAAAUGAAAUGCCCCUGUUUUAUGUGUUCCCUGUAGAAGUGUCCUUAUCAGAGCUAGGCGGAAGCAGUGGUGUUUAAUAGAUGAAAACUAGGAGUUGAGGUCAGGGUUACAAUUGAGCUGAAACCAUCUGGGAUGAUGUGCACCCAAGAACCUCACUACAAAUCGGGAAUCACUACAAAAUGGGUGAUGGCUUAAUUUCACCCUGAUCUGAAGGAAGUCAAUGUGGAAAAAAAAUUCAUGGGGUUCUCAAUGUUGGGAGGGUGAGCUCUGUCUCUAGCUCUUGUGGUUUUAGUGGCUGCGUGUCUUACUCAUCCUUCUGGGGAACUGUGCCUGGGGACACAGAGCCUCUGGGUGGCUGAUGCACACUACUUAUGAAAAAGUACUCGAGGCAGAAAGGUUUAAAGUGUUGAGGGCUUAUACAGGCUUAUGUUUGUAGACUUGUAAAAUGGUUUGGGUUGGAAGGGACCUUAAAGCCCGGCCAGUUCCAACCCCCUGCUGUGGGCAGGGUUGCCACCCACUAGAGCAGGUUGCCCAGGGCAAUGUGUUCUGCAAGAAGGGUGAUGAAAUGCUGUGCUUUGUGCGGCACACCUCCGAAGAUGCAGAGUCCUUUCAAAUUAUUAGCCCCCUUCACCUGUGGAAAGACAGACACCAUUCCUAUUCUUCUAGGAUAUUUUGAACAUAUAUUCUCCAUCUGGUGAAGCUGAGUGCCCUGCUCUAUCCUUGUAUGUUGUGCUCUCCGCAUGAGUGGGAAUGGUGAUAUGAAGCACGGGUCAAUGUGAAGAUGACCUUGAAGGAUGAGAAGAUGGAAUGUUUGGCAGGAUAAGAUGAAGCAGCCUGGAGUUUGUCCCAGCUAUCUAGAGCCCAGCACAGCACCAGGGCUGUUCUUGUGGAAAGAAACUGGGCUGUUCCAGGCUCCUGUCGCCACCAAACUCUCAGGGACAGGGCUCCGCCACAUCCAUCUGCCAGGCACUAGGUGUGUUUCCACAGAAGCUGGAAAACAGAGAUUUUUCCUCUGAGGUAUCACAGCCAGCAUUGGCUAUGACAAGGCUACUUACACUUUCCAAGCCCUCCUGUUUCUACGUUUGUCUUGCAACAGAGCCAAGAGUGGUAUUAUAAAAAUGUCUACAGAUAGCAAUUCUGCAUGUGAGCAUGUGCCUGAGCACACCUGCAGCCCUUGAUUAUGUGCCAGAGAAGUCAAAAGGCUUUUUUGUGUGUGUGUGUGUGAGGUGAUGAGAAGUGUGACUUCUCUUUAGCAAUGGGCCAGCUCUUACCACAACUUGGUAAUGAAGAAAGAGGUUCUUUGCUGGUUGGUUACAGGUUCUCUGUUUAUGAGAACGUCCAGUAAGUUUUCUGGCCAGGAGUUUCUAUGAAGUCAUGUUUUCUGGAAAUAGAAGCUGUGGGCUCAUGACAUUGAGGAGCAGUUUGCAGUGAGGACCAUGAGGCGCUGCACAGAAAGCAGAGGAAAGCCCUGGCUUGGCGACCCGCUCCAGGUGGAUUUGAAGUCAGUGGAAGAGCAAGGCUUACUAUGAAGACCAGUGAAAUCAUAGAAUCCUAGAAUCAUUAAAAUUGGAAAAGACCUCUAAGAUCAUCUAGUCUAGCCAUCAAACCAACACCACCAUGCCCACGCAUUGAAUCACAGAAUCCUAGAAUCCUUAAGGUUUGAAAAGACCUCCAAGAUCAUCCACUCCAACUCAUCACCACCUUGCCUGCUAAAUGAUGUCCUUCAAAUGCCCCCAUCACAUCCCCAUCUGUUCCUCAGGUGUGGUGAAGCCAGACUCUCUUGCACUAGUGUGGCAUCCAGACAGGCUUUAGAAGGGCCACAGGGAAACCGAGGAAAUGACAGUGUGGGAAUGUGGUAAAUACAGGGAGAUUUGGCCUUAGCAGGGUGGGUGUGUUGCCAACUGUAUCUUCUGCCUUGCAGAAACCUUCACAACAGGACAGAGCAAUGUGAGAGAAGGAUAAGAAGCAUGCACGCUUUUAAUACCACAAACCAAGCACGAAGAUAAGACUUGUUCUGUCUUUGGACCUUCCCAAUUGAGGGGGGAGAUUGCAGCAAGGCCCGCUGUCGAGGCAGGAGGAUUUAAUGCUGCCUGACAGGGCUUCCCCAAUGGGCUCGCGCUCCGCACCAACGCUCUGCUUUGCUCCCAUAUGGAACAGAUGCUGUUGUUAUUGCUGCUCAGAGGCAGCGCUGAGAUUAGCUGUUUCCAUGUACAGAUAUUUCUCUGGCAUUACAUAACCCAUGUAUUUAACACACACUAAAUUUUCAUUGCAAAUUGGCUGCUGUGGGGGCACUCACAUUUAUAAAAAGCCAUUUCCUUCCCAAGACAUGUAGUUACACUGUAGCCGCAGUUUGAUCUUAUUAUGAAAGCUGUACUUGAAAAUAAAGUGCAUGUGGGAC